CAGGCCUAACACAUGCAAGUCGAACGGUAACAGGAAGCAGCUUGCUGCUUUGCUGACGAGUGGCGGACGGGUGAGUAAUGUCUGGGAAACUGCCUGAUGGAGGGGGAUAACUACUGGAAACGGUGGCUAAUACCGCAUAACGUCGCAAGACCAAAGAGGGGGACCUUCGGGCCUCUUGCCAUCAGAUGUGCCCAGAUGGGAUUAGCUUGUUGGUGAGGUAACGGCUCACCAAGGCGACGAUCCCUAGCUGGUCUGAGAGGAUGACCAGCCACACUGGAACUGAGACACGGUCCAGACUCCUACGGGAGGCAGCAGUGGGGAAUAUUGCACAAUGGGCGCAAGCCUGAUGCAGCCAUGCCGCGUGUAUGAAGAAGGCCUUCGGGUUGUAAAGUACUUUCAGCGGGGAGGAAGGUGUUGUGGUUAAUAACCGCAGCAAUUGACGUUACCCGCAGAAGAAGCACCGGCUAACUCCGUGCCAGCAGCCGCGGUAAUACGGAGGGUGCAAGCGUUAAUCGGAAUUACUGGGCGUAAAGCGCACGCAGGCGGUCUGUCAAGUCGGAUGUGAAAUCCCCGGGCUCAACCUGGGAACUGCAUUCGAAACUGGCAGGCUUGAGUCUUGUAGAGGGGGGUAGAAUUCCAGGUGUAGCGGUGAAAUGCGUAGAGAUCUGGAGGAAUACCGGUGGCGAAGGCGGCCCCCUGGACAAAGACUGACGCUCAGGUGCGAAAGCGUGGGGAGCAAACAGGAUUAGAUACCCUGGUAGUCCACGCCGUAAACGAUGUCUACUUGGAGGUUGUGCCCUUGAGGCGUGGCUUCCGGAGCUAACGCGUUAAGUAGACCGCCUGGGGAGUACGGCCGCAAGGUUAAAACUCAAAUGAAUUGACGGGGGCCCGCACAAGCGGUGGAGCAUGUGGUUUAAUUCGAUGCAACGCGAAGAACCUUACCUGGUCUUGACAUCCACAGAAGAAUCCAGAGAUGGAUUUGUGCCUUCGGGAACUGUGAGACAGGUGCUGCAUGGCUGUCGUCAGCUCGUGUUGUGAAAUGUUGGGUUAAGUCCCGCAACGAGCGCAACCCUUAUCCUUUGUUGCCAGCGGUUAGGCCGGGAACUCAAAGGAGACUGCCAGUGAUAAACUGGAGGAAGGUGGGGAUGACGUCAAGUCAUCAUGGCCCUUACGACCAGGGCUACACACGUGCUACAAUGGCGCAUACAAAGAGAAGCGACCUCGCGAGAGCAAGCGGACCUCAUAAAGUGCGUCGUAGUCCGGAUUGGAGUCUGCAACUCGACUCCAUGAAGUCGGAAUCGCUAGUAAUCGUGGAUCAGAAUGCCACGGUGAAUACGUUCCCGGGCCUUGUACACACCGCCCGUCACACCAUGGGAGUGGGUUGCAAAAGAAGUAGGUAGCUUAACCUUCGGGAGGGCGCUUACCACUUUGUGAUUCAUGACUGGGGUGAAGUCGUAACAAGGUAACCGUAGGGGAACCUGCGGUUGGAUCACCUCCUUACCUUAAAGAA
rnacentral:rRNA from 2 species